ACAGGGAUGCCUCAGUAACGGCGAGUGAAGCGGCAAGAGCUCAAAUUUGAAAGCUGGCCCCCUCGGGGUCCGCAUUGUAAUUUGCAGAGGAUGCUUCGGGAGUGGCCCCCAUCUAAGUGCUCUGGAACGGGCCGUCAUAGAGGGUGAGAAUCCCGUAUGGGAUGGGGUGUCCGCGACCAUGUGAAGCUCCUUCAACGAGUCGAGUUGUUUGGGAAUGCAGCUCUAAAUGGGUGGUAAAUUUCAUCUAAAGCUAAAUAUUGGCCGGAGACCGAUAGCGCACAAGUAGAGUGAUCGAAAGAUGAAAAGCACUUUGAAAAGAGAGUUAAAAAGCACGUGAAAUUGUUGAAAGGGAAGCGCUUGCGACCAGACUCGCCUGCGGGGUUCAGCCGGUAUUCGUACCGGUGUACUUCCCCGUGGGCGGGCCAGCGUCGGUUUGGGCGGCCGGUCAAAGGCCCUCGGAAUGUAACGCCUCUCGGGGCGUCUUAUAGCCGAGGGUGCCAUGCGGCCAGCCCAGACCGAGGAACGCGCUUCGGCACGGACGCUGGCAUAAUGGUCGUAAGCGACCCGUCUUGAAACACGGACCAAGGAGUCUAACAUCUACGCGAGUGUUCGGGUGUCAAACCCGUGCGCGCAGUGAAAGCGAACGGAGGUGGGAACCCUCACGGGUGC
rnacentral:rRNA from 1 species